AUAUUGGCUCUAAUGGGGAUUCAUUGCUGUUUUGGAGCCAGCUUCAAGUUGACACUUGAGGAACUGCACAUCUGCAUUCAUUUUUCAACACUAGAUAUUGGCAGGUGGUGUAAACAACACCCUCCAACACUCACUUAGAGCUGCGCUAACAGUAACACUAGCUGCAUGGCUGACUGACCUACCACAACCAUGCCUAGCAGCAGCAGUUACUUGAACAAAGCGGGCUGUCCAUCAGGCACCAUUCCUCCAUUAAUUAUGAUCCUGGGAGGUCCCUAGUCCCCUUCCGUCCCUUUUCUUCUGUUUCCCUGUGUGUUUUUCUUGUUUGUCUGCUCACCAGGAGAUGGGGGUGGAGUCAACUCACCUUGCUGCAAUCAAGUCUGCUCACCUGUUGCUAAUCUACAAUCAAGCCACCAAAUCUGUCUGCAAUACUAAAGACCAGCUCAGCCUUCCACACAUUGCCUGAUUGUCCAUUUACCAAGCAUGAUCUCCAAGCAACUUUUCUUCAACCAAAUGGCCAGCUCCAGAACCACAGCCAGCCACUCACCAUUCAUAACGCACCCUGGAAAAGUGAACUCUACCUGCAAGUCCUCAUUAAAACCAUGUUUUCAAAACUUCAAA